GGAAUAGCUCAGUGGUAGAGAGCAUGCUUAACAUGCACAAGUCCUGGGUUUAAUCCCCAGUCCCUCCA
rnacentral:tRNA from 1 species